GUUAAGCAUACAGGAACAAAGUCUCACUCAGCCACUAUAAAUUCAGCAGAUAACACUGAUGCUGGAAGAGAAAGAACUAUGAAGAGAAAGAGUUAUACAGAGCAGCAAAGCAAAGCAAAGAACACGUGGGAAAAACAAAAACGGGAAAGUAACAAUGAGCUGAUGAUCAACGGUGAAGAGCUCGUGAUGAAGGCAGACAUGGAUUGUUAUCAAUGAUUAAGAAAGCCUGAAAUAAAGAAGAUGUAGAUCGCCAAGUCGUGUAGAUCUCAACUGACACAUGCUGUUAUUCGGUUUAGAGUGGUGAAACAAA
rnacentral:lncRNA from 1 species